GAAGAAACCAAAGCCCAGAUUAGUUCAAUAAUGCAGGGCCCCACCGGAGACAGAUGGCACAUUCAAAUGAACCUAUUUUAAUAAAGUUUUUUGGCCAGGAGGCAUGUGAGAUCUUAA